rnacentral:lncRNA from 1 species
CGGCAGAAGGUAAGGAAUAGAAUACUGAAAGAGGUUGAGUAGAUGAAGAAAAGUAAUUGCAGCAAUUAAUAUAGGAACAUUAAUGUUUAACAGCAGGUACAGGGUGGAGAAAAAAGGAAAAAAUAAAAAAUCUGCAAAAGGAAGAAGCAAGGGCAUUUAACAUCUUGCUGCAGCUAGCUAGGCUUCUAGCCUUGUUUCUUCCUCCCCUUUCUUUCUUUCUUUCUUUCUUCUCGUCAGAGCUCAUUUAACAAUCGCUGAGAAAGCUAAAAAAGGGCUUGCUCUAAUUAAUUCUAAUUCAGAAGGAAAAAAGAACAAAAAGAGAGAUGGCGCAGAAAUGGCUUCUUCUUUCUUUCUUUUUUCUUUUUUUUUUGUGCUCUAGAAAUUAACUAACCACAGUAGCAAGCAAGCAAGCAAAGCCUCAGCUGGUGGCUUAGUUGUGAAGAGGAUUAGGCCCUGUGUGUAUUAAUCUCAUUUCUUCCUCGUACAGUUUCGAUGAUGAUGGGGUUGAGCCUCUUGCAUGGUGGUGCAGUAAAGAACCAUGAAAGCGCGCUUUUCUUGCCGGAGACCACCGUGAGCGGCUGAGUGAGCUGUGCUCCGCCGCUGACGAUAAUACACAAACUUGUGAAAAUAUCAAGAGGAAGAACCCAAGUGAAAAAACUACUAUAAUUCUUGGCCUACAAUUGAUCCUCCUCCUAAUUUCACCUUGUAUAGAAACUGACAUUGUUUUCGGCACCAACUUCACUAGCUGCUGCUAUAUGUAUAGUAAAACUACUGAACUACAACAAAAGUGGAUGCUGAAAGACAAGGUGAGGUGAGACAUCAUGGGAUAUUCUAAUAAACCCUAUUCAUAAAAAGGAGAGAGAGAGAGAGAGAGAGGUGUCUCCUUAUCUUAUGGGUUUUAGUCACAUGAUCUUGACCCUUGAUUCCUGGAACCUUCUUAUGCAUAUCUUACUUUCUCCAACUCUGCAUCUUGGCUUUUUUUAUAAUAGUUUGGAUUUUGCUUGUAAUGUAAACAAAGAAUGGGGUUUGGAUGUGCAAUGUGAUUAGGUUUUGGGAAAGUGGUUGUUGUCUAUAUAUGUAGAAACGUGGACUCUUGUUUUGUGGUUGGAGAAACUAAGCUAUGAGAGUGGGACUCUCC